CUGCAGUGUGAAAUGCUUUGUUCAAGACGGUGCCUUAAAACAUCACAUAAGCUGUAUUCUGCUGUGUAUGAUCCAAAUGAAAAGACUUUUGAAAAGCUCCUUAUUGCCAACAGAGGAGAGAUUGCAUGCCGAGUCAUCAAAACAUGCAAGAAGAUGGGGAU